rnacentral:rRNA from 1 species
UACGUAGGGUGCAGGCGUUAAUCGGAAUUACUGGGCGUAAAGCGUGCGCAGGCGGUUUUGUAAGGCAGGCGUGAAAUCCCCGGGCUCAACCUGGGAAUUGCGCUUGUGACUGCAAGGCUAGAGUACGUCAGAGGGGGGUAGAAUUCCACGUGUAGCAGUGAAAUGCGUAGAGAUGUGGAGGAAUACCGAUGGCGAAGGCAGCCCCCUGGGACGUGACUGACGCUCAUGCACGAAAGCGUGGGGAGCAAACAGG